rnacentral:rRNA from 1 species
AACGAACGCUGGCGGCAUGCCUAACACAUGCAAGUCGAACGAGACCUUCGGGUCUAGUUACGCACGGGUGCGUAACGCGUGGUAACCUGCCCUUAGGUUCGGAAUAACUCCCCGAAAGGUGUCCUAAUACCGGUUAAUCUCUUCGGACCAAAGAUUUAUCGCUUUUGGAUGGGCCCGCGUUGGAUUCGCUAGUUGGUAGGGUAAAAGCCUACCAAGGCGACGAUCCAUAGCUGGUCUGAGAGGAGGAUCAGCCACACUGGGAAUGAGACACGGCCCAGACUCCUACGGGAGGGAGCAGUGGGGAAUAUUGGACAAGGGGCGAAAGCCUGAUCCAGCAAUGCCGCGUGAGUGAUGAAGGGCUUAGGGUUGUAAAGCUGUUUUACCCGGGAUGAUAAUGACAGUACCGGGAGAAUAAGCUCCGGCUAACUCCGUG